CAUCUGAUGCAAGCGGUUUGAGCCGGGUCUCAGGAGAAACUGCAAACCUGCCUGAGCCCGGGAAGAGUCUUUGCUGGAAGAAAGGCGCGACAAGAAAACUACCAGGCCAUAAGUCUUCACACAUUUCGUUCUCCAAGUAGCUGGAGGGAGCCUUGCUCACCCUUGCCCUGGUACAGCAGACUCGGCUGCUUCACUUUCAGGCGCUGCAUGCAGCAUGGACUGCAGAUUCGGCUACGUCACUGUUCAGCUUGAAGGAAUUUUCUGCCAAAAAGGGCUUUUGUGAGCAGCAGUUGCACACUUCCUGGAACUAAUUUUCCACAUGUAAUGAAAAAGGCCCAUGUCUCUCUUGAGCAUAGACACCCAAAUCCUCAAGCCUGUUUGAGAAUGAAACUCGGCAGAGCAUCCAUGAACACAGGACAAUGUCUCUGCAGGAACUUACCAUAGGGGGGGGGGAAUCACAUGACUAUUUCAACAUUUACAACUUCUUGGUGUUGGAGUUGUAGCUCUGUGGUAGAGCGCUUGCCAAGCAUGCUCAAAACCGUAGGUCCACCUCCAACACUGUGAAACAAACAGCAAAACCCCAAACAGGACAGCAACAAACGCAACUUCUUAGUCAAGAUCAUCCAGGAAAAGGCAGGCAGGAUGAAAUCUUUAAUCUAUUGAACUGACGUUAAAGAGAUGUGUCACCAGCAAGAAACACGAGUGCUUUGAAGCUGAGGAGCAAGGGAGGCGGUAUGUGUCCCCUUCUACUCAACAUGGUACCACAGACCGCAGUUUGCAAAGACAGCCAUACACACAGACAGAUAAGUGAGACACUCGGAAAGUGUCUACGAAAAGCCCAAGCUGUCUUCAAAAUGUGCUUCAACACUGCAUGGGAGCUUAAUAUGGCUACAAGAUAAAAAGUCAUUGUGAUUUGAUGAGUAAUAUCCCCACAGGCUCGUGUAUCCGAACACUUUGUCCCCAUGGGAUAGCGCUGUUUGGGGAGGUUCUGGAACUUUGGAUGGAGGAAGUUUGUUAGUGGGAGGGGAGUGGACUUUGAGAGUUUAUUGCCUUGCCUUGCUUCCAGCUUCACUCUGGUGGGGGUGGAUUGAAAUGUGGUCU